CUGAAAUACUCAACACAUCAUCAACGUUAUACAAGUUUAUUUACUUCUUUACUCAACGUAGUAUUAAUUAUUCAAUAACAUUUUAUUAGUACUUAUUAUACAAGGACACAAGCUACAUUUGUCCAUUGCUGAAACCCACUGGGGUUAAUCCAGUAUGCCGUGGAGCCACGAGUGCCGCUCCCAGUGGAUCAAGCAGCGUACUCUGCCGCCCACCGAAGCCAAGCUGAAGCGACCCCCGCAGCCGGGACCCUCGGAGUAUAACACACCCACUGUUAUUGGUGGCAAGGGGUUCUCCCACAUUCGGCGCGCGCCCGCCUACUCCUUCGGGCUGCGGCCGCCGCUGCUGCGACCCGGGCCGGGCCAGGGAAUAGACGUGCCUUUGUUUAACGUCUGUGGAUUUACUAAAUUAGGGCCCACUCGGCUCACGCACGGCGUGAUGUCCGCGCGGCUGGCGCCCCCCUGCCUCGCCGCGGGGGACCCGGGCCCCGCCGCGUACCGCCCCCGGCCUCACGCGGCCUCCAGGCGGCCCCCGGCCUACAGCAUGAGGCCGGCAGCCAGCGACCCGCCUCCAGACCCCGACGUGUGGACACCCUCGCCCAAUAUGUACCUGCCGCCGGUUCCCGGGAAGAGUACACCCGCUUUCACCCUGGGUAGCAAACCCAGUGAUCAUUCGAAGAAGUCAACAUUGCCAGGUCCAGGAGGCUAUAAUCCUAACUUUAACUAUGUCUUAAAGACGGUACCCAGAUUUGGAUUCGGAGCGCCUUACAGAAAGCCCAAGACGACCAGUGACCCUUCUCCUACUUACUGUCAUAAGAGGUUCAUGUAUGACAAGAAAUCAACGCCAGCUUACUCGUUUGGUAUAAAACACAGCAAGUAUCUAGGAGAGCCGCGGGCAUAUCUCAAAGAAUCCAAAUUGACACUGCCAUUAGCGCAGUAGCAGUUUCGCGAUGAAUAUACGAUUAAUAUGCACCAAUUCAGAUGUAAUGCUACGACUAUGCGGCUAAAUGGAAAACAAGCCGGUGAAAGAUGGCCACGGUUUUAAAGUCACAUUUAAGGCUUGAAGAAACACAAGCUAGAACGAAAGCUGAGCUUUGAACAUUAAAAUGUGAUCAAAGUUAAUUUCGCAAAGUUUUAUUCCAAGUUUGGCGAGUGGCCGGGCGGUGCUCGGUACAUCAGCAUCGAUCGACUUUUGUUGACGAUCAACUUUUUCAAACUUGCGCGUUUUCCUCAUGACUCUUGCUUAUGUUUUAUCCGAGGGUGUUAGAAAAAUGGCACAAUAAGCCUACCGGAGGUUCUAACUCAUGUUUCAAACUUAAUCUUAUUUAAACAAAAACUCACUUAUUUAAAUAAAAAUAAAUAGGUAUCAUCCUGGCAAUAAGCUAACGAUAGCAAUGCAACGCCAAAAUACAGCUUAAGUAAUAACUCCGGGGACAAACUCCAUAGUAAGCGGUGGAACAGAGCCCGCCUCAUUUGUAUGCGAGGCCAAAUGUUUCGAAGCCGUGGGCAAAGUGACGCGCCCACGCGCUGCCCGUCGGCCAUUUUGCGAAGUUUGCGCAAAAAUCAUGCAUU